rnacentral:misc_RNA from 1 species
AGUUCCGGGACGUGCACCCUGGCGAGAAGCACUCCCUCUUCCACCGGACCGGCCUCCGCAGUGGCAGCUGCGACUGCAGCCGCAUCUUGAUUAUGUUGACCUUGAGCUUGGCCUUGAGCCUGACCGCCUUGCGGACUCGUGGCCUGGCUCGACGUUUGUCCCGUGCCAGCAGCUGACGAAUUUUGUUGUUGCUGUUGCUGCUGUUGUUGCUGCUGUUGCGACUGCUGCUGUUGUUGCUGUUGCUUCGGUCCCGCCUCCAUUGCGAGGACCUCGCGCUUCUCGAGGAUUCCACCUUCACAGCAUUAAUCGACCCGAUUGUGCCGUUACCGUGGGAUAUCGCGAAAUCACCAUGUCGUCCGUUUAAUCGAAGAGACAUCUCAAGGAAGCAGCAAGAGAGGCAGGUAGAAAUAAGGAAAAAGCAGAUGAAGAAAUUAAAACGGCGAGGGUCCGUUCUUUAUGACUACAUCGAGUAACGGUAAAGGCGGAUAAGAUUACUGCGAUAGAAAUAAAGAAACGGCGCCGAGAUGCCGCGAC